rfam:Trichobilharzia regenti genome assembly, scaffold: TRE_scaffold0007697
GUACUGUUGAAGAGCCCCAAACUAGGGCGAAACGGAUGUCCAGUAC